rnacentral:rRNA from 1 species
AUUGAACGCUGGCGGCAUGCCUUACACAUGCAAGUCGAACGGCAGCACGGGAGCUUGCUCCUGGUGGCGAGUGGCGAACGGGUGAGUAAUACAUCGGAACGUACCCAGGAGUGGGGGAUAACGUAGCGGAAGUUACGCUAAUACCGCAUAUUCUGUGAGCAGGAAAGCGGGGGAUCGCAAGACCUCGCGCUCUUGGAGCGGCCGAUGUCGGAUUAGCUAGUUGGUGAGGUAAAAGCUCACCAAGGCGACGAUCCGUAGCAGGUCUGAGAGGAUGAUCUGCCACACUGGGACUGAGACCCGGCCCAGACUCCUACGGGAGGCAGCAGUGGGGAAUUUUGGACAAUGGGGGCAACCCUGAUCCAGCCAUGCCGCGUGAGUGAAGAAGGCCUUCGGGUUGUAAAGCUCUUUCGGCGGGGAAGAAAUGGCAACGGCUAAUAUCCGUUGUUGAUGACGGUACCCGCAUAAGAAGCACCGGCUAACUACGUGCCAGCCGCCGCCGUAA